GAGAGACACAGAUGUUACUAGCAGGCUUUCUGGAUGCCCCACAGAGCUGCUGCCUCAGUGCUUCUCUGUGAAUUAACAUAGUAAAGGCUGUCUUAUGGUCCUGCUGGCAAGAAGGACCAGCGAUGUCCUGAGGAUCCUGAAAUCUCAGUCAUUCAGGGGUGGAUGGGCCUGUUAAUGAGUGAAUCAGUGACUGAUUCGUCUUGUUGUACGUUUGUGAGAUUUCAUGUUCUCAUCAAAAGAAAACAGAACUUCUCUGGUCAGCAGUUCGAGGUCAGCUCCCAUGUGGUAAACUCGGAAGUUCACCAGUUGAUGCAGGAAGUGGAAGCGGGAGCCCACAGAAGAACAGAAGGAGCUUGGUCAGCGUGGUGGGCUACUGCAUCUCACCAGCUCCGGUCAAACCGUACAAGGCUCGAAGUCUUGAAUCAAUCUGUGCGAUUCAUCUGAGCUGAAUGCGCUCGAGCAGCUUAACGUAAAGAGUCGACUCAUCAGAACGAUUCGUUGAUGAAUCGACUCACCGGAGUCUUCAGGUGGAGCUGCCGAGCCUCCUCGUCGGUGGAAGAAUAGGCCCAAUUUCUUGGCUUUUCCUGGUGUGGAAUCCAGUCACUGACCUGUGGAUAUCAGAAAGAGACAGAUGGCCAAGUCCAUUGAAAACGAUGAAUACACAGUUGACAGUCCAGAUCUGGAUGUACAUGUGGAGGGUGCGAAUUUGAAGUAUUUGGAAUUUGAUGACGACAGGCAGCGGAUGAGUGAUAUUGGAGUUAAGAUGAAGUUUCUAUGUGAUGAGAUUGAAGUGCAGCCGUACGCUAAUGACGACGGAAUGUGGAAAUCGCUCUACCAAACGCUGGAAAUAGGAAUGAAUUCCUUCAAGAACCUGUUCACACAGUCAGGGAUGUCCGAUGUCCAGCCAAUGGUGAGGUCAGAGACGGCAAGCCUGACCUCCAGAGCGAGCCCACAGAACAGCGGUGCAGAAUGGAGGUCAAGAACUGUUUGUUUAUCCUGCUCUAGUGUGAAGGCUGCUAUUCAGGACAAGACAGAAUGGAAGCUCAUUGAACCUGUCGCUAUGGCUACUCUACUAAAUGAAGACAUAAAGUACAGGAUCUCUGUUGCACCAGGGAGAUAUGAGUGCACAGUCACUGGUCUUUGUUGGGAAAACUCUGAUGAAGUUGAAAUGGAAUAUCAUUUGAGUGACUGGGAUCAUGUUCGUGAAUUUCUGGAAAAGUACAAUUUUCAGCCCUGUGGUCCGUUACUGGAUGUUACUGUCAUCUCAGGGGAGCUCACUGCUGUCCAUCUACCACACUUUCUCUGUUUAGGUAAAGUAAUCUUCAAAUAA
ensembl:lncRNA